rnacentral:rRNA from 1 species
AUACGGAGGGUGCAAGCGUUAAUCGGAAUUACUGGGCGUAAAGCGUGCGUAGGCGGCUCGUUAAGUCAGAUGUGAAAGCCCCGGGCUCAACCUGGGAACUGCAUUUGAAACUGGCGAGCUAGAGUAUGGUAGAGGGGGGUAGAAUUUCUGGUGUAGCGGUGAAAUGCGUAGAUAUCAGAAGGAAUACCAGUGGCGAAGGCGGCCCCCUGGCCCAAUACUGACGCUGAGGUACGAAAGCGUGGGUAGCGAACGGGAUUAGAUACCCCUGUAGUCC